rnacentral:rRNA from 1 species
AGAGUUUGAUCCUGGCUCAGAUUGAACGCUGGCGGCAUGCCUUACACAUGCAAGUCGAACGGUAACGCGGGGCAACCUGGCGACGAGUGGCGAACGGGUGAGUAAUACAUCGGAACGUGCCCAGUAGUGGGGGAUAGCCCGGCGAAAGCCGGAUUAAUACCGCAUACGACCUACGGGUGAAAGCAGGGGAUCGCAAGACCUUGCGCUAUUGGAGCGGCCGAUGUCAGAUUAGGUUGUUGGUGGGGUAAAAGCCUACCAAGCCGACGAUCUGUAGCUGGUCUGAGAGGACGACCAGCCACACUGGGACUGAGACACGGCCCAGACUCCUACGGGAGGCAGCAGUGGGGAAUUUUGGACAAUGGGCGCAAGCCUGAUCCAGCCAUGCCGCGUGCGGGAAGAAGGCCUUCGGGUUGUAAACCGCUUUUGUCAGGGAAGAAACGCUCCGGGUUAAUACCCUGGGGUAAUGACGGUACCGAAGAAUAGCCCC